UGGCCUUGAAUUUGCCAAGAAAGAUGUUGAAUUUUAAUUUAAUUUAAUUUUUUGGUUAGGGGAGGGGAUUUGGUUUGAGGCAGGGUUUCUCUAUGUCCCUGGCUGAACCGGGACUAGCUCUCUAAACCAGGCUGGUCUCUAAAUGAACUCAGAGAUCUGCCUACCAGUGUUGGGACUAAAGGCAUACACAGCCAUGCGCAGUUGACCUCAGCCUUUUACAAUAUUUAUUUCCUUAUUUGGAGAGAGGUGUGCAAACAUGUCACAAUGCGAUCAUGAAGGUCAGAGGGCACCUCCAGAGCCAGGUCUCUUCUUUUAUCACAUGAGUCCCAGGGACCAAAUUCAGAUCAUGCGUCUUGGCAGCAGGCACAUUUACCUGCUGACCCAUCUCACUGGCCCCUGAUCUUUAACUUCUGAUCUUCCUGAGUACUUAGUCUAAGUACCAAGAUCACACCAUGCCCAGCUUGAUGUGGUACUGGGCAUCAAAGGACUCAGCCAACUGAGCUACACCCCAGCCCUUCACGUUUAUAUAUAAAUGCAAAAACAAAAACAAAACACACUAACGAUAUUUAUUUUGAACACUGAAAUUUGAAUCUCUUUGCAUUGCCUAGUGAGUGAAAAUAUCAUUUUAAGGGCAUGAAGAGAUGGCUCAGAAGUCAAGGGCACUUGCUAUUCUUGCAGACGGCCUAGAUCCAGUUUCCAACAUCCACAUAGUAGCUCACAAUCAUCUGUAAUCCAGUUGCAGGGGAUCUGACACUCUCCUCUGACUUCUGUAUACACUGUACACACAUGGUACAUGUAUAUGAAUAGAUAAAUACAUGCAAGCAAAACAUUCACGCAAAAACUAAAAUAGUUGAAUCUUUUUAAAAAUGGCAUUUUCAAUACAAAUCAAACAUUUAAGUUGAUUUUAAAACUUUUUGUUGAAUCAUUGACUUUCACAUCAUGUACCCCAGUCCUGCACCAUAUCUUCCUGUCCCCUCAUCUCUGCCUUCACCCUUGCAACCCCCCCCCAACAAAUAAAACACAAACAAACAACAACAAUGAAAGCAAAGCAUAAAACCAUCUCGUCGAGGAAGCAGUAUGUCCCACAGUGUGUCCCUCUGUCCACACAUCGUCACUUGCAAAUAUUCGUUGCAGUGAGUCAUUGGUCUGGUUCGAGGUCUCUGGCUUCUGUGACGCCAUCACUAUUGGAUCCUCACUGGGACUCCUCCCAGGUAUCCUGUUGUUGCCCUGUGUCAUGGAGAUCCUGCAGCUUUGGAACAGCAGCACUGGCCCUUUCACACAUCCCAACCAUUUACAGAUGGUAUAGAUUUGGGGGUGAGCCUGGGUGGUAGCUGAACUAGUCAGCCCACUGGCUCUCCCUUAUCCACAUGACCAGGGCAAGCUCUCCAGCACUGCUCUGGCUAGACCCGCUUUGUGCCACCAUCUGCAGGAGGCAAGGUCAGUUCUCCUACUCUCCUGCUGUCAGGACUGGCUCACCCACACCCAGCGCCACUGUGCUGUCCAGCCAAGAUGUGGGGCCACCAUCCCAAGUACUACAGCCAGUGAGGGACAGGGCCAGCUCACCUACCUACCCUCAUGACUUCAGGGCCAGUUGUCCUGACUGCCACAUGUCGUGGCAGGAGGUGGGGGCGACAUCACUCCUCACCCAUGCCACCUCAUGGCAGGGCCAGCCCUCCUGGGCUCAUACCCUUGGGUCUGUUUCAUUUCCCCACCCCUCACCCCCCAACCAGGGCCAGCCCUUCUGUGCUGCCCAGGAGAGACGCAGUGUUUUCUCUCCCAAAUGCUUCCUCUCUCAUGACCCUGAAGCCAGAUCACUCAACUGCUGCAGGUGGUGAGGGACAAAGGUAGGAAGGCCUCACCCCUGUACCCAUGCCAUCUCACAGCAGACAAGUGGUGGGGCCAGCUGUCCUCUGCUUUUGCCCUCAGAGCUGGCAAACCUACCUACUUGAUCCCCAGGUCAGCAUUGCUGUUCUGUCCCAUUAAGGAACGGGACCCAGUCUCCCGAGUGUUGCAGCUGGUGAGGGACCGAGCUAGCUCUCCAGAGCUCAUGACCCUGUGGGAGUAGGGUGGAGGCAGCAUCUCUGUGCCCAUGCCACCCCACAGCAGCUCUCCCAUAGGUAUGCUGUGGGGGCCAGUUCACCUACACCCCUGCCACCAGGACCAGCUUCUCUGUGCUGCCUGGGCAAGGCUCAGGGCCUGCUCUCCUAAGUGCUGAUGCAGAUGAGAGAUGGGGCCAGUUCUCCAGCGUGAGAAAUGGGGCCGAUUAUGCACCGUCCCCAGACAUCCAUGCAGUUCCCAGUGGCUGCCCGGACAUCCCGAUGCUCUGUAGUGGUCAUAUGAACCACAGAUGUCAAUGCUGACCCCUGUCACUGCAUAGCUGUGGACCUAGACGUGGUCCUCAGUGACAGCUCAGGCUAGGCCCUCACCAUGGCCCCAGGUGGCAGGGCUGACCACUCACAGCAGGCUCCUCCUCUCCACCAGUCUCCAGUUCCAUCUCUUCAUAAUGCUCAAGCUGCUCCGCUCUCUUUCUCUCCCCUCUGACCACCACAGACUUGCACAUUGCGGUGGCUCCUGCUGUAGGCUGGCCCCUGGGUGGCAUUCUCUAUUCUUAGUGUGUAGCGUGGAGGUAAGCGGGUACCUGUGGCCCACCUGUUCUGUACACUGGAGGUCAGGUCUGUGGGUGGCACGGCAGUCUGAAGGUCUCUGUCUGUCUGCCUCCUCCCACACUGCGCUGCCUGGAUUUGAUUUGAUUUUUAUGAGUCCUAGACAGCUUUGGCCACCUAGCCAGACAUCAAGCUAGGAUAAAGAAAGGCCUGCCAUCUGCUCUGGCCCUGACUGAUACAAGAACAUCACCAACGAGGUGCCUCUUUUGCCAUUGACAGAGUGGCAUUUAAAUUGACUUACGUGACCAGU
rnacentral:lncRNA from 1 species